rnacentral:rRNA from 1 species
GGUGAGUAAUGCCUAGGAAAUUGCCUUGAUGUGGGGGAUAACCAUUGGAAACGAUGGCUAAUACCGCAUAAUGCCUACGGGCCAAAGAGGGGGACCUUCGGGCCUCUCGCGUCAAGAUAUGCCUAGGUGGGAUUAGCUAGUUGGUGAGGUAAUGGCUCACCAAGGCGACG